UACCUGGUUGAUCCUGCCAAUAGUCA
rnacentral:rRNA from 1 species